UAUGGCUCAGAUUGAACGCUAGCGGGAUGCCUUACACAUGCAAGUCGAACGGCAGCACGGACUUCGGUCUGGUGGCGAGUGGCGAACGGGUGAGUAAUGUAUCGGAACGUGCCUAGUAGCGGGGGAUAACUACGCGAAAGCGUAGCUAAUACCGCAUACGCCCUACGGGGGAAAGCAGGGGAUCGCAAGACCUUGCACUAUUAGAGCGGCCGAUAUCGGAUUAGCUAGUUGGUGGGGUAACGGCUCACCAAGGCGACGAUCCGUAGCUGGUUUGAGAGGACGACCAGCCACACUGGGACUGAGACACGGCCCAGACUCCUACGGGAGGCAGCAGUGGGGAAUUUUGGACAAUGGGGGAAACCCUGAUCCAGCCAUCCCGCGUGUGCGAUGAAGGCCUUCGGGUUGUAAAGCACUUUUGGCAGGAAAGAAACGUCAUGGGCUAAUACCCCGUGAAACUGACGGUACCUGCAGAAUAAGCACCGGCUAACUACGUGCCAGCAGCCGCGGUAAUACGUAGGGUGCAAGCGUUAAUCGGAAUUACUGGGCGUAAAGCGUGCGCAGGCGGUUCGGAAAGAAAGAUGUGAAAUCCCAGAGCUUAACUUUGGAACUGCAUUUUUAACUACCGAGCUAGAGUGUGUCAGAGGGAGGUGGAAUUCCGCGUGUAGCAGUGAAAUGCGUAGAUAUGCGGAGGAACACCGAUGGCGAAGGCAGCCUCCUGGGAUAACACUGACG
rnacentral:rRNA from 3 species